GGGGAUGUAGCUUAGUAGUAAAGCACUUGCCUACCAUGCUAAAGGUCCUGGGUUCAACCCCAAGCACAACCA
rnacentral:tRNA from 1 species